GACAGAGAAAUAGCAUACAUUGAGAAUGAACUUGGUAAGAAACCUGUGAAUAAUUUCACACGUGCAUUUUUAGAUCUGAUGAAGUUGAAGGAUACAAAACCAUUUCUAUGCAAGAACAGGGAAGGAUGCUUGACAAAAUACCUACAGAGGAAAGUAGAAUAGGAAAGAAAAAGCUUACAUACUCGUGCUAGCAAAAAAGCAACCACUAGUUAAG
rnacentral:lncRNA from 1 species